rnacentral:rRNA from 1 species
UGUGUUUGAACCUGUUGAAAGCCGCCAACAGGCUAAGUGCGCCCGCUGCCGCCCAAAAGGCGACCGGAUGCCUGAUUAUCGGGUAUCUAGGGAGGAUUAAGGGGGUAUUUGGGUAAAAUCAGGAGGUGUUUGGGGCGAAAACAGCCGAAAACCUGUGUUUGGGUUUCGGCUGUCGGGAGGGAAAGGAAUUUU